UAUUGAUAAGAUGAUCUUCAAUAUAUUUUUUUAAAGUACUUGAACUCAGUUUUCCGAUUUUAGGGUAUGUUUGAGGUAUGGCUGAGUUAUAUAAACGAUACGGCUGAGUUAUCUAAACGACACGGCUCAGUUAUAUAAACAUUUUCUGAUUUUAGGGUAUGUUUGCGGUAUGACUGAGUUAUAUAAAUGACACGGCUGAGAUAUAUAAACGACAUGGCUGAGUUGUGUAAAUAUGGUAAAAGUCAAAUACAAAAUACACGGGUGAGUUAUAUUUUUUACAUAGAAAACCAAAAAUACAAGUUUUCUGCACCAUUUCGGUGAUAACUCCUCUAUGUCUCCAAGCUUCAUUGAAUUUCUCUGUGUCGUCUCUGCUGAAUUUGUCACUUCUUUCCAUCUCCUCCAUUCUCUUCUUGUUCAAUCUUCUCUUUCACUUAGAUCUGAAAAAAAAUUAGAUUAUCCAAAUAUGGGUUCAAAUCACAAACAAACUUAAAUGAAUGCAUCCCAAAAUUGCUAAUUUGGGUGUUUUUUAGAAUGUAUUUUCCUUUUCUCCUCAGAAUGCACAUUUCUUAUAACUAGGUUUUCGGAGAUUGGCGGGAAGUAACUCAGCCAGAACUACAUAUUAAACCAGUCGUAAAAGAAAAGUAACUCAGCCACAACAUAAAUUAAAACUCAGCCACAAACUCGAAAAACUUAGCAGAGAAUAUGAUUUCGGGCGAUUGCAGCGAAGAAGAUUUUGUAGAAACACUUGCGGCGAAGACGAUUCCGGUGAAGACGUUAUUGGAGAAGAAAGUUCGAGAAUUUUGAACGACAAACAACAAUAUCAACUCAAAAGAUUAGGGAUUAAGCGACGAACGUUGAAACUUUUGAUUUUUUUUUCAACACAUGAAGUUUAGUUACAAAGAGGAUUCAUUGUCUUUUUUUUCUUUUGAUCAAAAUAAUUACAGUUAUUAAUGACGUGGAUAUAAUAAUUAUGGAUUUGUUGUGUAAAAAUAGUCUCAAUUAAAAAAACUAACCAAAGGCCUUAGUUGUAAUUCACUAUGGGUAUACAAACAUUCUAAUAAUUUUUAAAAGAUGUAUGUUAUUCUAGUCAUAUCUCAACUUUUCCAUAACAUUCUAGUAAUUUUCUCUUAGUAAUUUGGACAUGAAUCCUAGAGAUACUCUCAAAUUGGCAGAAACAGAGUCUUUACUUUGGGCGGAGGCGCAUAUCUCACUAACACAAGGAAUCGAGCAAACUCGAUUACCAGUACAAGCGAUAGUACCGUAUAUCCCAGGCCGAUAGUGUUUUACGGAGGGAUUUACUUUCAGGACAAAGGUGGUAUAGUACACUGAAUGGUUUUGAUGGUUUAAUGGGAGCGAGUAAUACAAAAGCGAGUCAAUCGCCACAUCAUUCAGAGAUGAAAGCGCUUAUUUGAGCAAUAGAGUGUAUGAGAAAUAUAAGAUAGUUUAUUGUUAUAUUUGCAACAGAUUGUUCUCAGUUGGUAAAGAUGGUUUCGGAAUCAGAAGAAUGGCCAGUCUUUGCUAGUUAUUUAGAAGAUAUAAAGGUUUUGAAGAGACGUUUUCAUAGUUCAGAGGUCAUUCAUGUACCACGGACGCAGAAUUUAAAGGCGGACAGUCUUGUACGCAGUGCACGAAAGCAAUCGUUUGGUUUGCAGAGUUUACAUGAUUCUGUUUAUAUUGCUGACGAAAAAAAACAUAUGAAGCCAAAGGUAGUUUAUAAUAAUGCUCCUAAAAGAAUAAUAAGGGGAUAAUAAAAUCUUAUGAAACUUUACCUAUGUACAACACAAACAAUUUUUUUAUAAUAAACAUUUUGUACGCUCAUUAUUUUAUUUUGUCAUUUUAAGUAUUUUUACACAGAUUAAAAAACUAUUAAAUUUAUUAUUCUAUCAGUUGCAUUAUUUGAUUAUGGAACUAAUAAACUACAAAAAAUAAGUAAAAUUAAAAAAAAAAAAAAAAUUCAAACAAGUGCUUGAAAUACAAAAGGACAUUAAGAAUUUUCUCAAACUCUAAAACGAUAACUAAUAUAAAAAGAAAAGAGUACUAGUUAUCCCACUAUAUAAAAGAAGCUAUUUUUAAGCUUCCUAAAGCUAUCCACAUGGUCAAAAUAAUCAGGACCAAUCAAAGUGACAUGUCAUUGUGGACUAGGCUUGGAUACAAAAAUUAAGUUAACCUUUGCAUCCCAUUUAAACCAUUUCGCAGUCCAACCUAAAAUCUAAUUCUCAAAAAUCUAAAAAUCACUCAUCCUCCCCCUAACCUAAACGCCGUCUCAUAAUGGUUUCCAGAAGCUGAUAAGAUCAAAGAUUCAACUAGACAAAGCAAGCAGCUUGAGGAACCAAAAGUUAUGGAUUGGCGUUGUUUUAUCGGCUUUUUCAGUUCAAGUUUAUUUUGUGAAGAAGAGUAUUUGUUGCUUGGGUCAUCUUCUUGCAUUUUCAUGCGAUUGAGUUUGUAAGUCUCAGAAGCAUCUUUACGGUUUGUUUUCUGAUGGAAUGUACUGUUUCAUAAUUGCAAUGCGUACUUCUUUUCAUUAUAUAUGGAUGAGAUGAGAUGUGACCGAAUAAAUUUCGAAACAUGAUUCAAUUAUCUCCAUAUUUAUUAUGUGUGAUUCAUGCCAGAUUGGUUAAAGACAUUGACUGUGAAGCUCUCCUGAAUUUUAAGUAAGCAAUUAAAUGACUAUAAACAAUUUGUGGUCUGAUUUAUUAUAUGCUAAAUUUUAUACAUAUGAACUUAGUAAAUAGUUCUUUUUUUUGCCACUGAGGGGACAUAGACAACAUGGGAGCAGAAAUAAAUGUUACCCUCAUCUCAGAGGCUAGGGGUUCCUCAACGAUUCUUUGGUGUGGUAAGAUACUUUUCUUUAAAAGUUACCUGGAGUCACUGUAGUUGGAAUCACAUUAUUAUUUCCUAAAGUUCGAUGCUUAUGUCGUCAUUACAUAUGUUUCUUUUAAAUUGAUAACCUCUUACUUUUCAUCCCUAAAGCUUAGAAUCUGGGCCUUUAGAGGAUAUUCAGAAUCGGAUACAUGAUGCGCUGGAGGAAUUUGCAAUAACGGGUGGCUCUUAUAUCUAUGUCUCUCGAAAGACAUGUCUCUUAGCUGGAACAGAGGAUGUGCACUUAGGUUAUAAAUUAUAGGACUGGGCCGAGGGAUAGGCCGCAACGUUGGGUUUGGAGGAUUGCAAGGAGAAUGUUGACAGAGAUGGUGGCGAUGACAUAAGUUAAAAUGGCGGUAAAGAGAAGAAACAUGUGGUGUUGGACUCCAACAAAAGUUAAAUAUUUUAGGAUGUUUUUUAACCAGUAUUCAACUUCUGAGCAGCCACUGAUCGAUAUGUGUAAAAGCGAAAUCGUAGACCUGUGUAUGUGAAAGAGAAAAAAAUAAGCAGUUGAAGAAUCAGGUGGAAAAAUAAGGGAUACUUUUAUGCAACGAUUGUUAUUUUCAGAUCAGCUUUCUCUAUUUGUAGCAGAGAAUAUAAAGACAAAUAAGUUUUGAAAUAGUGGCCAUUUUUAGUGUAGAGAAACAAACAUUCGUUGUCAUCAUCGUAUGAGUUUUUAUUUUUGAUCAGAAAAAGAGAGAAAAUAACAUUUGAGGUCAUCAUUGUGAAAUCCAAUUAGGAUUUCUCCUCUGUUUUUGGGGAUUGUUAUGAAACUAGGGUAUGCUUCUGAUUUUCAUAGCUCUCUUUAAAUCUUUAAAAAAUUAUUCUAAGCUUCAAAACAAGAAACACUGCAGUUUUAGUGUGCAUAAUUGUUUGCUUGGUGACAUAUUCUUUGAUUGUUUUGGGCUGAAAUAUAAACCCAACAUAUUGUGUUGUUCCAUUUAGUUAGGUAAUUAUAUAUAUGUUUUACGAUGUUAUCGUUGCAACUAUGUUGAAACUAAGAAUGAGAUAUUUGAUUAGAUAGGAAUUAUAUACUUUCAUUCAAUACAGCCAACAUUAAAAAGACUAAAGGAUUUAGUUAUUUCUUUAAGAAAUUUUUUUUUCAGAAAACAUUUAUACCCAGUCUGGUUCAUCUUAAUUUUCAGAUUAUUAAUGGUUAUACUACAUUUAAUUUUUUUUUUUAUGUUUGGUUCACUCAAAGUAAAUUAUUUAAUAAGAUAGGGUAUAAAACUCAAGUAAAAUUAUGUUAGAACUAUAAUAAUUUGUUAAUUUAUAACACUAUUAAUCUAUAAAAUAUUUUCAAAUAGUAUGAGCAAAAUUUUCAACAAAUUGUUUUUA